rnacentral:lncRNA from 10 species
GUAUUUUUAGUAGCGACGGGGUUUCACCGUGGUCUCCAUCUCCUGACCUCGUGAUCCGCCCGCCUCGGCCUCCCAAAGUGCUGGUAUUACAGGUGUCAGCCACCGCGCCUGACCAACAGUAAAAAAGGAUGAGGUGAACUGCCUUGGUCAGACUCUGAGAAAUACUCACAGUUCCUCCUUCCUCCUGGCCAAGUCCUUGAAGAAUCAAAGCAGCAAAUAAACAAGGUGGAACAAGAGUGAAAAUGAGAAUGCAUUUAUCUUCUCCACUGAACGACCCCAAGUCCUGUGUCAGGGCUGAGAUGUUUGAGUUGCUCCCAGUUUUAUGCUACCAUGAAUGAGGAAAUGAUGCCUGGAACAAUGAAGCUCC